CCUACGGGUGGCAGCAGUGGGGAAUAUUGCGCAAUGGGCGAAAGCCUGACGCAGCGACGCCGCGUGAGGGAUGAAGGUCUUCGGAUCGGAAACCUCUGUCAGCAGGGAAGCACGGUCACUGUGCUAAUCAGCAGUGAAUUGACGGUACCUGCAAAGGAAGCACCGGCUAACUCCGUGCCAGCAGCCGCGGUAAUACGGGGGGUGCGAGCGUUAAUCGGAAUUACUGGGCGGAAAGCGUUCGUAGGCGGUAUGGCAAGUCCAGGGUGAAAUCCCCGCGCUCAACGUGGGACCUGCCUGUGAAACUGGCAAACUGGAGUGUGUGAGAGGAUAGUGGAAUUCCAGGUGUAGGAGUGAAAUCCGUAGAUAUCUGGAGGAACAUCAGUGGCGAAGGCGACUAUCUGGCACAUAACUGACGCUGAGGAGCGAAAGCGUGGGUAGCAAACAGGAUUAGAUACCCCAGUAGUC
rnacentral:rRNA from 1 species